GGCAGCGUCAGAUGGGUAUAAGAGACAGGUGAGUCAUCGAAUCUUUGAACGCACCUUGCGCCCUUUGGUAUUCCGAAGGGCAUGCCUGUUUGAGUGUCAUGAAACCUCACCCCACUUGGGUUUUUGCCUGAGCGGUGGUGUAUUGGGUGUUGCCUUGCUAAAGGCUCGCCUUAAAGACAUAAGCACCUUGGAUGUAAUACGUUUCAUCCUUCUGGGUGGCUGAUAACCCCACAUACUCAUGAUCUGGCCUCAAAUCAGGUAGGGCUACCCGCUGAACUUAAGCAUAUCAAUAAGCGGAGG
rnacentral:misc_RNA from 1 species